rnacentral:lncRNA from 1 species
CAUUUUGGUCUUUUCACACUAUCUCAGCGUCAUUUGUUGUUUGUUGUUGCUGAGCUUUAACCACGUUUGUUGUUGCUGAACUUCACCACGUGUUAAAGGGCAUUUCACGUGUAAAUCAGUGGACAUUUCAAAGUUGUUUCCUCAUCUCCUUCCAAUUCUUUCUACAGUGAUGAUGAAUGUUCUGCUCCUUUCCUAUUUUUCUAUACACAUAUUAUAAAUUUGUGCUUCCACACAUUAUUUCUUCCAUAUUCUACCUCGGUUUUUUAGCUUGCAACUACUAAAGGUAUGUGGAUUUUGUGUUUUUACUGUUCGAUUUUUUAUUUUCAACCUGCUUUUUGUUAGGGUUUCCAGAUUUCAAUAACUAAAUUGACUGCGCUUAGCAAUUCAGUAUGUGGGUUUUGUGUUUUUGCUAUCCGAUUUUGCAUUUCCAAGCUGCUAAUUGUUGUGUUCUCCAGAUUUCAUUAACUAAACUGGGGAGAAAAUUGGUGUAUAUAAUCUUGCAUCAAUUUCUUCAUGUUUUUGCUUUACCUUCUUCAAUUUUAAUUUUGCUUUGCUGACGCUUUAAUUAGUUAAUUUGUAUUUUCGGCCCCUGCUUUAGCAGUUAGGGGGUGGGAGUUGUUUACCUGAAUAGCGGGAGCUUGAUUAAUUCUACAGGGUUGUUUAUGAAUGGUAUCGAUAAAGUAGUUGAUACAAAAACCCUACCUUUUUGUAUGAGUUUUGUUUUGUGGGUGUUCUCGACUUUGCGGUUUUCGUCUGAGAGAGAGAGGAGUUUGAUUAAGGGUGUGUUUAGUAGGAAGGGAAAUGUAAGUGGACAACAUAUUUAUUUUCUUGUGUUUGGUAUGUAAGCAAGACUUUUUUUUUCUCUUAAAAGUAUUAAUUUAUAAUCUAGAUAAUAUUGUGGCAGGUGGAGUUGAUGCAAUGACCGAACUAGAAGUGAGGUUACUAUACCCGACUUAGAAGACUAUGAACGAUUAGCCUGUGGAAUAGAAAACCUGAGAAAUCUAAUGUUUUUAUGUCUUUAAGACAUUGAUAGCCAACUAAACUUGCAGAACAUGUGAAUGUAUUUGCAUAUAUCUUAUUAUUAGUCACAUCUAGAAAUCAUUAAUCCCAUAAAUUAUAUUUAGCUGGUCGUAAAUGUUUUGUCUGUCGAGUCUGAAGACUAUUGAAUGUCUAAAGCAUGACUUAUUAGGCAUCAUUCCGCUAUGCGGAUUAGGCAACAUUAGUUUCAUUUUUCAGAAUUAUUCUCAAGUGGAAUUUAGGAUAGAGCAGAUUGUAAGCCGACCAUCACUACCAGAAAAAACAGGAAAAGAAACCACACAUGUGGUCGCUUUUUCUAUUUUUGCGACCACAAACGCGAUCACAAGGUGUGGUCUCAAAAACAGUGGUAAAUAUAUUUAUAUAU